AAAAACUCCAGCUUUAUAUCAUGGUUUGUUACUAGCAAAUGGUUGAAAUUUCAGAUCAUUACAAGUGGAAAGGGACUCUCAGGUGACCACGAUCCACCACACAUUCAAGGAGGGUAAUGGUGUAGCGGAGGUAUUAGCCAAGUAUGGGAAGACAAAUCCGGAUCUACAACCUAAUGAUGCUCUACUUUUUGAAACCCCUACCCCUACUUUUGCCUUAUCGUUUUUAGCUUCCGAUGUAACUGAAACUAUAACAUACCGUUCAUUUCCGACUUCUGUAAUUCACUAGUUUUAUUUUUAAUAAAAGCCUUAUUAGCAAAAAAAAAAAAAAAAAAAAAAAA